GGAAGCGCCCGGGGCCUGGUGGCUUCCGCGGUCUUCAAAACCGUUGCGCCGUGCGGCUGCCGUACGGUGGGUGGGUUCGAUUCCCAUGCGCUUCCGCCA
rnacentral:tRNA from 2 species